rnacentral:lncRNA from 1 species
GAGUUUCUCGGCAUUCUUUUCCAGUGAUCCAAGUAACAAACAGGGUCAGUGAAUCCAUCUGUUCCUGAGUCUUUGAAAAUAUGCUUUCUGUCAAUAUUGUUAUUAACCUUCAUGAAUUCUCCUGGGACUUAAUCUGAAAAUUAAUCUCAAGGAAUCCCACUAAAACAUCAAUGUUUAGAAAUAGAACGCUACCACGUAAAUUUCUCUUCAGCCUUGCAGAAUUUCACUCUAGACAUUUAUCAUCCAAAGUACACAGAAAUCGAAGGUGAACACAACCAAAAUUGUAAUUGCAAAUAAAAUGUCACAAGGUUUUCUUUUAUUCAGAGUAACAUAUGUGCCCAUACAGAGUCUGAACCUCUCAAUUUUUCUUAACUUUUAAAUUGUAAGAACUCUUUCUUCUUUUUUUAGGGGAAAAUAAAUAAAUAAAUAAAUAAUUUUUUUUUUUUUAAAAAAAGGACUGAUUGCAUUCAGAUAAUUGUUGAAAGCGUACAUUCUGUUCUCAAUAAAGCUUCCAACUUCAGAGUACGCACACUGGUGCCUACCAGGAAUUAACCUUGCGCAGUGCUGAAAGCAGUUAGUAAGUAAUCCCAAAACACAUAGGUCAUAUGCUCUUAAUUUGAAGGCUGAGAUGAUCAUGUUUCAGUCUUUACAUCAGCCUCUUUCCUUGAUCUGUCAGGAAGCUCUAAUUACUUGCUUUACUGGAUAACUUGCUUUCAGUCCUCACGAAACUCCCUUGGGAAGAUGCACCACAGCUUCAAGAAUAACACCAAAUAAUCAGAUGGACAAAGCCCACAGAGAUAAAACAGUGAAGGAUUCCAUCCUCUUUGAGAUGCACUCAGCCAUUGUAGAAGAAACACAAAUGUUCCUUAGCACAAACCAAGAGGAAAAGAAACAGGAACUGACAAUCUGUAAGAGACUUCCACUAGAUUCAUGUCAUGAAUCUACUGUGAUAGUGAAGAAUCCUGGAAGUAAUUAUGUGUAGAGCCAUUUGGCAUGCCAGCUACUGCAGGGAGANNNNNNNNNNUUGACAGGUAAGAGUAAAAUUUUCAGUUCAGUAAAACCAUCUUUAUCAGUGGGUUGGGCUAUUAUUUUUAACCAAACCAUUUCAUCUUACCAUCAUGAUCGACUAACGUCUUUUGCAGCAUUAGUGGUCUAAGUCCAUUCCCUUUCUGACAUAUUGUUUUCUGUGUUUUCCUCUUCUUUUUUUCUAGUUACAGCAUAGCAGUAAUAAGAGAUUGCUGCAUAUAUCAGAACAGUAAAGGGCCUUAAUAUUCUCUGAAGUUCUCUGAUUCUUAAAUCUAUUAUAUAGACACUUUCCCCUCCUUUUCUGAAGAUUAAAAAGAAAUUCAUGUUGUUCUACAUAAAAGGAGAUUGCUGUAAGUGUGAACUUGGAUUUUUCUCCUCUAAUUGCAAAGUAUAAGCUGCAAAGCUGCAAUGUUAUUUAAUAAUUCAUGUCUGCGACAAUGAUAAUCACAAUGUGAAAUGACCUGAUACCUAUUAUUUGUAUUCUUGUUUAUAUAUAGGUAUUAUUUUCUUAUUGAAAAUUUGUUUAUUUAUUUAUUGAAGAAAACCUUUAAAGUAAACUUUGUUUGAUUUUCUGUAAUUCCAUUUUUCCUCUCUACUUCAUCUCUCAGACUUUUAGGUCUCAGUUCAUGUAUUUAUAAAUCCCAUGCAAGUUCAUUGUUCACAUGAGAAAACUAAAAGUGUCCUUGAAAGUUGAUUGUUCACAUGAGGAAAUUAAAAAUGUCCUGGAUCAUUUUGGAACAACUUCAAAACCAGAGCAGAAAGUCAAGAUGAACCUAGACAGAUUGGACUUGGAUGGCUUCUAUUCUUCCAUAUUUCUUUCCCUUGAUUUUAGCAUUUGUACAGAAAUAGCACAGAUCUGAUCAUCUCAGUGUGGCCUUGAAGACAGAACGGCCACUAUCCUUAGUAAGCGUGGUCUUAAAGAAUAAUCUGAUGAAAAUAAUCUUCAAAGGCAGGUAUUUGCUAAUCCUUUUGAACCUUUUGUUGAAAUUGAAAGGAAAAAAAGAAGCUGUGCAAGUAGAAGCCAUCAUCAGAAAGGUGCCUACACAAUGCCUUUGUUGUGGAGCUAAAAGGUAGCUGCUGGAGACUACUCUUGCUAUAUAUAGAAGUUCUGGGAAAUCAUAUACAUAUGCGUAGCUUUUAAUCUAACAUUUGCUUGUAACUGUAAAAACAUUUCCAAACUUUUAGAGUAACUCAUAGUCUGUAAAAUAUGAUUCCAAAGUAAUAAAAGUGCAGAAAUACAUAAACA